UCCCUUCCGGUCAUCGAGACCAUUGAUGACCGGAAGGAAUCCCUUCCGGCCAUCAAGACCAUUGAUGACCGGAAGGGAUUCCCUCCAGUCAUCGAGACUGUACAGUCUUGAUGACCGGAGGGA
rnacentral:miRNA from 1 species